AUUAGCUCAGUUGGUAGAGCACCUGACUUUUAAUCCGGUUGUCCCGAGUUCGAGUCUCGG
rnacentral:tRNA from 1 species